AGAACGUCAUGUAAUGGGUUUCAGGAGAUGGAUGCAAAUGCAGUUAAAGCUUUUAUUUAAGAGAGGGACAGAUAAAAUCCAAAAACGUCAGGCAAAACCCGUGGUCACAAACAAUCAAGGAGUCAGCCGAUCGGCAAACGGGCAUUAACUGGGCGAGGACAAGAAUCGAGACAAGAGAACAGGAUCAAAACCAUGAAACAAAAAUCUGAGGAUCAAAGGCUUAGUACAGGCCUGGCAAGAAGACACAGAAACACUGUAACAAAUAACAAAGACACACGAAAAAGGUGUAAAGGUGUGAGCAGAGCUUGGGUGGCUCUGCCAUCAUCCUCAGACAGGAACAUGGCAUGGGAGGCCGUGUCGUCUGCCUCAGGCGUGAACAGUAUUUGGUAGGCCGUGUCCUCUGCCUCUAUCAGGAACAUGGCUGGAUAGACCACUUCAUUGGUCUCACACUGGAGCACAGGAAAUGAGGUCACUACGUUGACCUCCGGCUGGAGCUCGACAGGUAAGACUACCCCAUUGGUUUCAGGCUCAUUGCUAUAAAAUAAGAUUUUGUCGGCCGCAGAGAAUGGUUAAACUUGCUCAAUCUGGCAACAAGGCCUGAACUGUCCCUGACUUCUCUAUUAGAGCUUAUUGUAGUUCCCAAUGUUGACCACUAGGUGCAAGACUAACUGUAUGGCACUAAAUGGGACCAUGAGCACACCUCAUCUAGAAAAGUGCACAAAUCAACAGUGUGUCUGUGUGUGUGUGUGUGUGUGUGUGUGUGUGUGUGUGUGUGUGUGUGUGUGUGUGUGCGCGCGCGCGUGUGUUCGUAAACUAUAAACAUACCCCUCCUCUCUCAGUCAUCAGAAGUCCUUCACCUUCUUCACCACUGCACUCCAUGAGCUCUGCUCUCUUCGCCUUGCAAAACAAUUUGAUCUGUUCUGAAUAUUUAGGGUUCUCUCUGUACCGUCGUUCCAGUUCCUUCAUCGCCUCCUCUGCCUUCUGCAAAGCCUCUGUGGCACCGACAUGCCUUUUAUUGCCCUGCUCUUUCCCAGGUCGGGCCUGCUGUAUAAGCUUGUUCACAUGCUCCAGCUGCUUGCUCACCUAUUAAACAUACAUUAAAACACACACACACACACACACACACACACACCCCUUCUCAUCUUCGAGAAUCUCUGGGAUUUUUAUCCAAACCCUCCAUGUUAUAAACUGAACAGUAGUAAUUAAAUAACUCCAAGUUACGUAUACAGUGGUGUAAUGUUUUGGAAUGGCCAAGUCAGAGUCCUGACCUGAAACAAGCAGUUCAUGUGAGGAAACCCACCAACAUCCCAGAGUUGAAGCUGUUCUGUACUGAGGAAUGGGAUAAAAACCCCAGAGUCGAUGUGCAGGACUGAUCAACAGUUACCCCAAACGUUUAUCUGCAGUUAUUACUGCACAAGGGUCUCACACCACAUACUCACAGCAAAGGUGCACAUACUUUUACCCUUCACAAAUAUGCAAUAUUGGAUCAUUUUCCUCAAUAAAUAAAUUUCCAAGUAUAAUAUUAUUGUCUUGUUUGUUUAACUGUGUUCUCUUUAUCUACUUUUAGGACUUGUGUGAAAAUCUGAUGAUGUUUUAGAUCAUAUUUAUGCAGAAAUGUAGAAAAUUCUAAAGGGUUCACAAACUUUCAAGCACCACUGUAUAUAUACACUGUCUGAAUUGACAUGUUGAUAAAGAUUGCAUUAUAUGUUGGUACUAUAAAAGAGCUUUUGUGUUUUUUCCUCAUUAUAAAGACACUUUAGUAAGCGCUCACUCUUGUCUAUUGUCUCACACUGAAGAUAAAAGUAAGAAAUCCAUCCAUCCAUUAUCUAUAGCGAUUAUCCUACAGGGUCACAGGGAACCUGGAUCCUGUCCCAGGGAGCAUGGGGCCCAAGGCAGGGGAAACCCUGGACAGGGUGGCAUCCAUCGCAGGGCACAAUCACAUACACACUCGCACACUACGGACACUUUCAGACAUGCCAAUCAGCCUACCAUGCAUGUCUUUGGUCUGGGGAAGGAAACCGGAGUACCCGGAGGAAACCACCACAACACGGGGAGAACAUGCAAACUCCACACACACAGGGUUUCAGGGGAAACCCCCGACCCUGGAGGUGUGAGGCGACCGUGCUAACCACUAAUCCACCGCACACACAAAAGUUUAAAAUGCAGAACAAUAAAAUAUAGAUGAUGUUUAAGAAGACGUGUCAGACGUCCUGAACUAGUGGUGCAGUGGGAAAAAUAAAUAAAUAAAUACAAAACAAAACACUUUAUUUUAUAUACACACACACACCAACACACACACACAUUCAGCUGCUUGAUGCAGUCCUACUUACCUUGAUGAACUCCUGAUGGACUACAUUCUUCUGGUAUUUUAUACAUAGAAAGAGAAGAGUCACCAGCAGAAUCACCACCACCGUCACUAUGAGUCCAAUUAUCCACCGAGGAAACUUCUCAUCUACAAAGACACACACACACACACACAUUACACCUAUCCGUGACAUUUCCCCUGCAGACCGCCAGGUUGCACCCUCCCUGAGACACACUGAGACACACUGAGACGUACCUGUCACAGCGACGGAGUACACACGGAUGUCUUCUUUAUUCUCCGUGUCCCGGAUGGUGUAACGUCCACUAUCACUGUACGUCACGUCUCUCAGUGUGAGCUCUGGGUAACUGAGUGAUGUUCUGUGUGUGUAUUCAGCUUUACACUGUAGUGAGUGUUGAGUCCCGUUACAGAUCCGUUCACCAUCAGCUGAAUCACUGCUUGUAUAAAUCACCUCCACUGGCUCUGGUACGGUCAGAUCCAGGAUCAGAUCUUCACCAGGGUUCUUCUGAACUGCUGAGAACACGGCUGAGGAGAAAACACAUUCAGCUGUAUUUAGAUUGAAAAAGAAAUCAUUCAAGCUGCAUUCAGAGUCCAGAAAUUGCGUGGGGAAAGUUCACACUUCUGAGGUUGCCAGAUUUUUCUUUAGUAGAAGUUUCAGAGACAGGGUUUUAUAAAAGUGUGAAGACCAUCACCUUUAAAUACAACCAUCUUCAUACCUGAAAAAAAUCAGGGAUAGAAAAUGUGGACUGAAGAAGGAAAUUAUAUUUUUCUUUGCUGUAAAAUGUAAAUUGCCGUAUGUCCAAGAAGCAUCUCCUCCGAUGUCCACUGUGUGAAAAACCCUUUUGUGCAAAGUGAAAAUAUGAUAAGUUCAUUAAUACUGAUGUGUGUGAUUUCAGUACUAAACCCUGACUGUGUGAUUAACUCCACUCUGAAAAUGAUCCUAAUCAUUCAGACUGAAUGUUUUAUCCGCAGUAGAAGAGAUAAAGACACUCACUCUCAAUGCUGAGGCGCACAGUAGAGAUUUCUGAGACGCCACACUCACACGAGUACGUGUUCCUCAUUCUGUAAUCAGCUGCAGUGAUGAUGAGAGAGAGAUCUCCAUCCUGGUACUGAUCAUAAGACAUAUUAUAUCCCUUCACCAGUGAGCUGCAUGACGUAUCAUUACACCGAGCGAAGACAACAUCUCGAUUAUUAAAUAAAGACCAUUUGACUGAACCAGAACAUUUAUAUUCACAUGAGAGAGUCACAGGCUGAUGAAGCUUCACUGUUUUAGAACAGACCGCAGAUAAUACCGGAGCUGAAACAGAGAAGAAGCUGACAGUGAGAGUGUGCAGUGACAGUGAGAUGAGAGUGAGAGUGUAGAGUGAGAGUGUAGAGUGAGAGUGUAGAGUGUAGAGUGAGAGUGUAGAGUGUAGAGUGAGAGUGUAGAGUGAGAGUGUAGAGUGAGAGUAGUGAGAGUGUGCAGUGAGAGUGUAGAGUGAGAGUGUAGAGUGAGAGUGUAGAGAGUGUGCAGUGACAGUGAGAGUGUACAGUGAGACUGUAGAGUGUACAGUGAGAGUGUAGAGUGAGAGUGUAGAGUGAGAGUGUACAGUGAGAGUGUACAGUGAGAGUGUAGAGUGAGAGUGUAGAGUGAGAGUGAGAGUGUAGAGAGUUGGUAGUAAAUGUGGUGAGAGAGUGAACGACACUUACCAGUGGUGAAUGUGAGGGUGAGUAAGAGCAGGACACAGUGGUGAACGCUGCAGGACUGCAUGGCUGAGGAGACACAACACCACCAUCAGUACUGCACAGGUGGAGAAUAAAGCAGGAGAGAGAAACACACUCACAGCUACAUUUUAUCAUUAAAGCUGCAGUUUACUGGAAUUUAUUUAAUCGUGAAGUAUUAAUGAGGAAUUCCACUGUGAUCAAUUAUAGUAAAAUAAUCAUUAAUUGGGUGGUGUGAUGAAGUGGAGUUACAGUUUCCACCCACAGCUGAUUAUUUCCCUGGUGAUUAUUAAAAUAACAGAAGCAGGACUGUGUUCCGUCUCAUUAAAACACUGCACCAGCUUCACAGUGUCUGUUAGUGCUGUGUCGGGGUGAGGGUUCACUUCGGCUGUGCUGUCCACCAAAACCGUCUGUGUUAAAUGAACAAACAGAGUGAUACUGAAGGGAGAGAUUUGAUCAUUUGAUUAGAUAAAAUAUUGACGGACUCCUUCCAAAAUUAACAAAUAAUACAGAAACUAUAGAAAACAGUUCACUUUGUGCAUUUUAAUGUAAUUUUAGGGAAUGUCUGGCUUCCUGUGUAGUCUUAAAGCAAUCACCUGUGAACAGCACAUCCCCAAAUGUUUUAUUCCCCAUCAAUUUACCAACAAACACAUUUCUUUAUUUAUUAAAGAACUGCACAUAAUAGACUGAAAAAACCUGAUUGAAUUUUUAUCAAUCAGACGUGUAGAUCAGUUCCACACGACUGAAUUCCUGCAGUGCGAUUGCAGCUCACAUCUUCUAACUGUGUUAAUUAUGGACCCAAGCACAGAAGAGACGUAGGUACAAUAGGUAGGUACAGUAGAGACGCGGUACAAAUAUCCUGACCAAACUGGGGCCUAGUGCUGCCACCACUCUAGCGCCACCAUUUUGUCAAAUUUGGCCCUAAUUUGGAAGUAUGUUUUUG
ensembl:lncRNA